ACGCAAAGAGAAAAACUAAAUGAACGUGGAACCAUGCGGUGGUUUUGCAUCCUGGCACUGUUCUCCCUGUCAGUUCUUCAGACUGAGGCCUCAGGGCACGGUGAGAAACCUGGCCACACGCAGCCUCCCCGAGAGGUGCAAGAACCCUUUGCCAACUCCACGUGGCGGGAAAGCGAGACCAGAACCACGUGGGCAUCAGAGGCCGCCAGCAGCGCCAGGGAGAGGGUCANCACGACCACCCCCAGCCCCCUACAGAACAGCAGCAGCACGCAGGCCGGUCCUCCUGCGCUUGGCGAAGACGUCUCCGCAGCGGUUUAUGCAAAAUAUCUGGUGCCUCCUCUGAUAGUGCUCGUGCUGCUCCUAAGCCUGCUCUUUAUGUACAGACGGAAGAGAGGACGAGAAGACCACAGCAGCACUGCCUCCAUCAACGGCUCUUCAGACUCCGAGGACGACUCCCCAGCGAUGGAGCAGGAAGGGCAGCACCAGGGCGCCCCCCAGAUGGAUUCCUAGACCCGACGCCUGCCCUUAGCAAGCUGUUCUCUUCGCUGGACCACUAGCCAAAUCAGCUCUGCAGAGAGCCAGAGGUAGCACCCACCAUUCUUCACCCCUCCGUGUUUAACUCACACAACCCUGUUGAGUAGGUGCCUUCCAAGACAUCCAGAAAGCGUUCACAGCCAAGGUGGGAUUUGAACCCAGCUGCAUCGCCACUUGGACGGAUCUCUCUUACACUGAAGUAAACGUGGGCCUUCUGGUCCACAAAGACUCACACACACGUAAGCUCCAAGCGUCCACAAUGCCCCUAGCUGCUUCCUAGGAAACAAGGGUGCCUGCGAAGUCUCCACGCAAAAGAGGGUUCCUAAUUUAACCCUGGUGCAAAUCUGUCCCUGUUCCUGUGCAGGGGUGGCUNGGAAGGGCUGUUCAGGCAACCCAGCCACACCCCUGAGGUACAGAAAGUGCUGGACUCUGCAGCCCUGCAGCCCCAGAGCUGUCAAAGGAGAAAGAGGCACCCUGGAUCCUCCCAAGGCCAAGUAGGAAGCAGCCGUCCUGCGUCAGGCGCAUUUACCAAGGCAGAGGACCAGGGCUCCUUUGCAAAAUUCUGGGUAUUUUCUAAUUAUAUGCAAGGAACUGCAUUCCAACUGUUCAAAAACACAAGUGGUGAAAAAAAGAAUAAAUUCUGUCUACUGGUAACCUGUUCA
rnacentral:lncRNA from 1 species